rnacentral:rRNA from 1 species
GUCUGUUUGAAGUUAUAGAAAGUCUAACCUGCCCACUGAUAAGAAUUUUAAGGGCCGCGGUAUUAUGACUGUGCAAAGGUAGCAAAAUCAUUAGGUUUUUAAAUGAGAUCUUGUAUGAAUGGUUGGACAAAGGAAAAGCUGUCUUUAUUUUAGAAUUUGAAUUUUACUUUUAAGUGAGAAGGCUUAAAUGGUUUAGAGGGACGAUAAGACCCUAUAAAGCUUUACAUUGAAAGUUAUAUUAAUUGAAAUUUGAAAAUAAAAAUUAAUAUAAUUGUUUGUUAUAUUGGGGAGAUAAGGGUAAAAAUAAUGUUAACUGCUUUAAAUAAAAUACAUUUAUUUAUGGUGAAUUAUUAUGCAUCCUUUUAUAAAUAAAGAGUGAAAGAUUAAGUUACUUUAGGGAUAACAGUGUAAUUUUUUUUAAGAGUUCAUAUCGAAAAAAGAGUUUGCAACCUCGAUGUUGAAUUAAAAUAUCUAUAUAAUGUAGCUGUUAUAUAAGAGGGUCUGUUCGACCUUU